UGUGUAGGCGGUUGCUUAAGUUUGGUGUGAAAUCUCCCGGCUCAACUGGGAGGGUGCGCCGAAUACUGAGUGACUCGAGUGCGGGAGAGGGAGAGUGGAAUUCCUGGUGUAGCGGUGAAAUGCGUAGAUAUCAGGAGGAACACCGGUGGUGUAGACGGCUCUCUGGACCGUAACUGACGCUGAGACACGAAAGCGUGGGUAGCAAACAGGAUUAGAUACCCUGGUAGUCCACGCCCUAAACGAUGCAUAUUUGGUGUAGGGCCGUUCACGUUCGGUCCGUGCCGGAGCUAACGCGUUAAAUAUGCCGCCUGGGGAGUACAGUCGCAAGGCUGAA
rnacentral:rRNA from 1 species